rnacentral:rRNA from 1 species
AGACCGAUAGCAAACAAGUACCGUGAGGGAAGAUUGAAAAGAACUUUGAAGAGAGAGUUCAAUAGUACGUGAAACUGUGUGGUGGUAAACGGAGGGGUUCUCGAAGUUUCUGCGGGGAACUCAACCUUGGUGUUGGGCGGUCAGGGCGUAUCCGAUCAGCAAUGACUGUGCGCUCUGUCUGGCUUGGCUCUCGGGUGCAUUUCCCCCGUAGUUUACGGCAGGAACCGUUUGGUGCGGACCGAAGGCCUCGGGUGAAGUUGUCGCUUAUGGUGGCAGCCCUGGGUGUCCUGGCUCUGCGCUCGACGGGUACGUGAGAGGACUCGUAUAGCGAGCAACGCUCUGUUGCGGUUCUCAUCUCUCUGCCGAGUAGGUCGGUGGCCCCUCCGACCCGUCUUGAAACACGGAC